CUUUGUGGGUUUCAAGCUGGAUGUGUCAGAACAGUUAACACAAGGAUAAUUGGCUUGUGGCAGCCAAGCAUUCAUAGUGACAUUGCAUUUUAAUCCUUAAAUGUCAUUUCUUCUUAUCAUUGUGAAGCAGAAUUGACCAAGUGUUGGAUUGUUCACCCACUAAUAGGGAACAUGAGCUAGUUUUAGACCAUUGUGAGAGAGGUUAGUU
rnacentral:ncRNA from 1 species